GAUGAACGCUGGCGGCGUGCCUAAUACAUGCAAGUCGAGCGAACAGACGAGGAGCUUGCUCCUCUGAUGUUAGCGGCGGACGGGUGAGUGACACGUGGAUAACCUACCUAUAAGACUGGGAUAACUUCGGGAAACCGGAGCUAAUACCGGAUAACAUGUUGAACCGCAUGGUUCAACAGUGAAAGACGGUCUUGCUGUCACUUAUAGAUGGAUCCGCGCCGCAUUAGCUAGUUGGUAAGGUAACGGCUUACCAAGGCAACGAUGCGUAGCCGACCUGAGAGGGUGAUCGGCCACACUGGAACUGAGACACGGUCCAGACUCCUACGGGAGGCAGCAGUAGGGAAUCUUCCGCAAUGGGCGAAAGCCUGACGGAGCAACGCCGCGUGAGUGAAGAAGGUCUUCGGAUCGUAAAACUCUGUUAUUAGGGAAGAACAAAUGUGUAAGUAACUAUGCACGUCUUGACGGUACCUAAUCAGAAAGCCACGGCUAACUACGUG
rnacentral:rRNA from 1 species